rnacentral:rRNA from 1 species
AUUGAACGCUGGCGGCAUGCCUUACACAUGCAAGUCGAACGGUAACGGGUCCUUUGGGAUGCCGACGAGUGGCGAACGGGUGAGUAAUAUAUCGGAACGUGCCCAGUAGUGGGGGAUAACUGCUCGAAAGAGCAGCUAAUACCGCAUACGACCUGAGGGUGAAAGGGGGGGAUCGCAAGACCUCUCGCUAUUGGAGCGGCCGAUAUCAGAUUAGCUAGGUGGUGGGGCAAAGGCCUACCAAGGCAACGAUCUGUAGUUGGUCUGAGAGGACGACCAGCCACACUGGGACUGAGACACGGCCCAGACUCCUACGGGAGGCAGCAGUGGGGAAUUUUGGACAAUGGGCGCAAGCCUGAUCCAGCAAUGCCGCGUGCAGGAAGAAGGCCUUCGGGUUGUAAACUGCUUUUGUCAGGGAAGAAAUCUUCUGGGCUAAUACCCCGGGAGGAUGACGGUGCCUGAAGAAUAAGCACCGGCUAACUACGUGCCAGCCGCCGCCGUAA